rnacentral:rRNA from 1 species
UUUCCGUAGGUGAACCUGCGGAAGGAUCAUUGUCGAAACCUGCAAAGCAGAACGACCCGCGAACAAGUGAAAAAUAUUGUGGGUGACAGCCUCCGGGCCUGUCUCCCAAAGUCCAAGGGUAAAGGUUGUGGGAAACUACAGCCUUUCUGCCUUGGGCACAAACAACGAACCCCGGCGCAAAUUGCGCCAAGGAACAAAAAAGGAUGUGCGCUCCCCUCGUCCCGGAAACGGUGCUGCGAGGGGAUUGCAUCGUCGUUGAUUAUGUAUAUGAAACGACUCUCGGCAACGGAUAUCUCGGCUCUCGCAUCGAUGAAGAACGUAGCGAAAUGCGAUACUUGGUGUGAAUUGCAGAAUCCCGUGAACCAUCGAGUUUUUGAACGCAAGUUGCGCCCGAAGCCGUCAGGCCGAGGGCACGCCUGCCUGGGUGUCACGCAACGUCGCCACCAUUUCCCUCACCCCUCACGGGGAACAGUGUGGGAAGGCGGAUAUUGGCCUCCCGUGUGCUCUYGCUCGCGGUUGGCCUAAAACACAGCCCCUUGGCGAUGCAGCCAUGGCACGCGGUGGUCGAAAGCAACAGCUCCUCGAAAACCGCCGUGGUGAGCAUCGUUACGUGGAGCAAAGGACCCCGACGCGAUCGUCAUCACAAAGCGACCCCAGGUCAGGCGGGAACACCCGCUGAGUUUAAG